rnacentral:lncRNA from 1 species
GCAGAGGUGCCUCACCCCAUGGUUACCACAACCAUAGGCUCAAGGGGAGUACUGCCAGGCUUCUGCCAAAGUUCACUCAAGGCCCGAGGACUCUUCAAUCAGCUUCUAGUGAAUGCUGCCAGGCCUAGGACUCACCCCUCAGGGCAGUGGGCUCCCCUCUGGCCCAGGGAAUUUCCAGAAAUGCCAUCCUAGAGCCAAGAUCUGGCAUCAGGGAUUCCAAGAUCCCACUUCUCCUCCACUGUGUCUGAGCUGGUACCUGAGCUGAAAGACAAAGUUCCUUUUACUUUUCCCUCUGCGUUUCUCAAGCAGAAAGAGUCCCUCACUGUAGCCACCAUAGCUGGGAAUGUGGUGGGUCUCACCUGAAGACAGCAUGUCUCAGAGUCUCACCGAAGGCCAAUAGCGUGUAGUACCUGGCAUCACUGCUUGUUAUUCAGGGCCCAACGGCUCUUGAGUCAGCAGGUGAUAGAGCCUGCCAGGACUGGAUCCUUCCCUUCAGGGUAGCUGGUUCCCUUCUCGCCCAAGGUGUGUCUAGAAAUCUGCCGAGGUUGGUGUCUUAGUAGGUCAUGUGCCCCCCAAAUCCAAUGGCUUUGAGUCCAGCUCAGCACCAGGACUUGCCUAGGAGUUGCAGUCCUCAUGACCUAGACUGCCUUUCAACUUUAUUUAGGACCCCAGAGCACUUUAGCCAACAGUGGUGUGGCUUGCCAAACCUCACAUUCCGACUGUUGGGGAGACUCUGUCUCAAAAUAAAUAAAUAAAUAAAU